rnacentral:tRNA from 1 species
GCCGCCCUAGCUCAGUCGGUAGAGCGAUUCACUCGUAAUGAAUAGGUCAGGAGUUCGAUUCUCCUGGGCGGCU